rnacentral:rRNA from 1 species
GCAAGUCGGACGGUAACAUGGGGGCUUGCUCCCGAUGACGAGUGGCGCACGGGUGCGUAACGCGUAUGCAACCUACCCAUGACAGGGGGAUAGCCCAGGGAAACUUGGAUUAAUACCGCAUAAAGCAGGGCGUACCGCAUGGUACUAUUUGCUAAAAGAGUAAUCUGGUCAUGGAUGGGCAUGCGUCCCAUUAGUUAGUUGGCGAGGUAACGGCUCACCAAGACGAUGAUGGGUAGGGGUUCUGAGAGGAAGGUC